rnacentral:rRNA from 1 species
CCUACGGGAGGCAGCAGUGGGGAAUAUUGGGCAAUGGGCGCAAGCCUGACCCAGCAACGCCGCGUGAAGGAAGAAGGCUCUCGGGUUGUAAACUUCUUUUAUCAGGGACGAAGCAAGUGACGGUACCUGAUGAAUAAGCCACGGCUAACUACGUGCCAGCAGCCGCUGUAAUACGUAGGUGGCAAGCCUUCUCCGGAUUUACUGGGUGUAAAGGGCGUGUAGGCGGGAAAGCAAGUCAGAUGUGAAAACCAUGGGCUCAACCUGUGGCCUGCAGUUGAAACUGUUUGUCUUGAGUACUGGAGAGGCAGACGGAAUGCCUAGUGUAGCGGUGAAAUGCGUAGAUAUUAGGAGGAACACCAGUGGCGAAGGCGGUCUGCUGGACAGCAACUGACGCUGAGGCGCGAAAGCGUGGGGAGCAAACAGGAUUAGAUACCCGGGUAGUC